rnacentral:lncRNA from 1 species
GGUAGCUUGUUACAUUGCUGGCCUCACUCAGCCUUCUCCCACUAUUCACAGACUUGUUUAACCCUCUCAUGUAGACUGGAAACUUGGUACAUGACCUGCUGUGGCCAAUGAGCCCGUGAUAAUCGCUACACGACACAGCAGAAAUUGAUGUGCAUUUGCGAGUCAGGGUUUGUCCUCCUGGCACCUGGUGCCCAUGUAUGGAGGAACCCAAGCUAGUCACGUGGACAGAUUGCAUAGAAGAAAACCGAGGUGUCCCAGCAAAGAGCCCAGAUGAUGUCCCGGCAAAUAGCACCAACUUCUGGCAACACGGAGAGAACAUGUUGAAUGAUCUAGCCUCUUUGAAGCUUCCAGAUGACCCGAGCCGUCUUCCACUGUCUGCUUGGCAGAGCUGGAGGAGGGUGUUUUAGUUGCCCAAGAUGACUGCUGAUAAUGAAAAGCCAACAUGUAUGUCUGGAACCACAAGAGAAGACACAAGCAAGAGUUUCCCAAUGCCUCUUUCUAACUCACUACAAAAAGACUAUUUGAGGCCAGAGGGCAAGAACUUUAACAAAAGCACUGAAGAUACACUGGAAC